rnacentral:rRNA from 1 species
CCCUUAGAUGUUCUGGGCCGCACGCGCGCUACACCGAUGCAUUCAACGAGUCUAAAACCUGCUCUGAUAGGGGUGGGUAAUCUUUUGAAUGUGCAUCGUGAUUGGGAUAGAUGAUUGCAAUUUUUCAUCUUCAACGAGGAAUGCCUAGUAAACGCAAGUCAUCAGCUUGCAUUGAUUACGUCCCUGCCCUUUGUACACACCGCCCGUCGCUCCUACCGAUUGAAUGAUCCGAUGAAUAUCAUGGAUUGAGGAUGCAAGUAGGUUAGCCUAUCUUCAUCUUCGAGAAGUGAAGUAAAUCUUAUCAUUUAGAGGAAGGAGAAGUCGUAACA